rnacentral:tRNA from 1 species
GCCGGUGUGGUGUAGUGGUUAGAGCUCUGGACUAGAAUUUAAGAGACACGGGUUCAAAUCCCUCCACGGAAGCC